GGAGUUAGGCCGGUUCAGUCGGAGUGUGCUCCUAGGUUUUCUGACUUUUCUUAAAGUAAAUGAUGAGAAAUUUUUUUUUUAUCUCAAAAUACCAUUAGAAAGGAAAGUCCCAACGCUCGGAAGCUUAGUUGACAAAGAAGGGGGUUGCGUGGCUGCGAGUCUCAACUACUGUUUGGGAGCCCCAAAACCAGUGCUGACACCCGCGCCCCACGAGCGCGCAAUUCCUCCCCUGGUAGGUAACGCGGAAGAACCGGGAGGGUGGCGGCCUCAGGGCACAGGAGCUCGGCUACCGAAAACCAGAAUGGUUACGCGUUGUAGACGGAAGCCUGCAGUCUCAGCAUCCAGACUGGAGGCAGUAAAGAUUGCUGCAAGUUCGAGGCCAGUGAGCUCCAGGCCAGGCUGAACCACAGAAUGAGCUCCAAACCAGCAUGGGUUAAGCGAGUUGAAGACCAGCCUGAGCUACUGAAUAAGUUUGAGGGUAGCUUGGGUUACAGAGUGCAUUCGAGGCCAGCCUGGGCCACACAGUGAGUUGAAGACCAAUCAUGGCUACAUAGCAAGUUCGAGGACAGCCUAUGCUCCAUACUAAGACCCUGUCUCAAAACAUCCAUAAAAACAAUGUAGAAAAGACAAAGCAGAAGAAGCGACAGCAGCUGGGAGAAGACUCUGGAAAUGAGCUGGAUCAUGGGAACCCCGAAACCGCUGAUUUUGCCUUGGCUGGUGUCUCAGCUGGACCUGGGACAGCUGAAAG
rnacentral:lncRNA from 1 species